UGGGUUGUUAGCUCAGACAGGUAGAGCAAUUGGCUUUUAACCAAUUGGCCGUAGGUUCAAAUCCUACACAACUCAA
rnacentral:tRNA from 1 species